UACAGGGGGGGCAAGCGUUGCUCGGAAUUACUGGGCGUAAAGCGCACGUAGGCGGACCAAUAAGUCGGGGGUGAAAUCCUGGAGCUCAACUCCAGAACUGCCUUCGAAACUGCCGGUCUUGAGUUCGGGAGAGGUGAGUGGAACUGCGAGUGUAGAGGUGAAAUUCGUAGAUAUUCGCAAGAACACCAGUGGCGAAGGCGGCUCACUGGCCCGAUACUGACGCUGAGGUGCGAAAGCGUGGGGAGCAAACAGG
rnacentral:rRNA from 1 species